rnacentral:lncRNA from 1 species
UUCCUGUGCUAGAACCAGACAUUCCAACCCGCAUGGAACUCCCACCCAAGGAUGACCACACAAGACUUCCAGAACAUUCUAUCCUUUGCUGAUAGGGGAGCCCGCCUGAGAAAGCCUUCCAGGUCUCUGAACUUCAGCAGCAAGAUGAGUGGAUCAGCCCCCAGGCUCAGACAGCCCAAGCCCACGAGGAUGCCGUUCUGGAACACCUCGAGCCCCAUGUGCCCUGGAAAGCAAGAUUCACGCUGGAAGCUCACCAUGGCUUUUGAAGACUGAAGCUGAGGACCCUUCCUCCUCCUGGGAGGUGGUGGGAAAGAGCACUGUUCUGGGAGUCAGUUCAGCUAUCUGUCAGCCCUUCUGUCAACCCCAGCAUUGCCCAGCCUGCAUC